ACUCAAAGGAAUUGACGGGGGCUCACACAAGCGGUGGAGCAUGUUGCUUAAUUCGAGGCAACGCGAAGAACCUUACCUGGGUUUGACAUGGCCGGAUUAGCUCUUGGAAACAGGAGUGACACCUUCGGGUGGAACGGUCACAGGUGCUGCAUGGCUGUCGUCAGCUCGUGCUGUGAAGUGUCGGGUUAAGUCCCUUAACGAGCGCAACCCCUAUCGUCAGUUGCUCACGGGUCAAGCCGAGUACUCUGGCGAGACUGCCGGUGUCAAACCGGAGGAAGGUGGGGAUGACGUCAAGUCCUCAUGGCCUUUAUAUCCAGGGAUGCAAACGUGCUACAAUGGUGCGCACAAAGCGAUGCAAGGCGGCGACGCGGAGCAAAUCGCAAAAAACGCACCCCAGUUCGGAUUGCAGGCUGCAACUCGCCUGCAUGAAGUCGGAAUCGCUAGUAAUCGGAGAUCAGCUACGCUCCGGUGAAUAUGUUCCUGAGCCUUGUACACACCGCCCGU
rnacentral:rRNA from 1 species